AGGUCAUUUCAAAGAGGGCUUGUUUGGGCUGUAAAACCAAAAGCUCUUAACGCUGUGACCAAAGAUUGAUGUUCUUCACAGAGUAAAUCCAGGCACUUUUUUGAUAGUGCUGUGUUUUUCUGAGAAGAUAACAUG